CCCAGCACUUACGUGCUGGGCUAGAUUCUAUCGUCCCGCUGAGCGGGACU
rfam:Acidobacteria bacterium RIFCSPLOWO2_12_FTLL_60_22 rifcsplowo2_12_scaffold_7462, whole genome shotgun sequence.